AGAUUGAACGCUGGCGGCAUGCCUUACACAUGCAAGUCGAACGGCAGCACGGGAGCAAUUCUGGUGGCGAGUGGCGAACGGGUGAGUAAUACAUCGGAACGUGCCCAAUCGUGGGGGAUAACGCAGCGAAAGCUGUGCUAAUACCGCAUAAGAUCUACGGAUGAAAGCAGGGGAUCGCAAGACCUUGCGCGAAUGGAGCGGCCGAUGGCAGAUUAGGUAGUCGGGUGAGGUAAAGGACUCACCAAGCCUUCGAUCUGUAGCUGGUCUGAGAGGACGACCAGCCACACUGGGACUGAGACACGGCCCAGACUCCUACGGGAGGCAGCCGAGUGGGGAAUUUUGGACAAGUGGGCGAAAGCCUGAUCCAGCCAUGCCGCGUGCAGGAUGAAGGUCCUUCGGUGUAAACUGCGUUUUGUACGG
rnacentral:rRNA from 1 species